rnacentral:rRNA from 1 species
UACGUAGGUGGCAAGCGUUUGUCCGGAUUUAUUGGGUUUAAAGGGUGCGUAGGCGGCUUUGUAAGUCAGUGGUGAAAUAUGGCAGCUCAACUGUCAGGGUGCCAUUGAUACUGCGGAGCUUGAGUACAGAUGAGGUAGGCGGAAUUGACGGUGUAGCGGUGAAAUGCUUAGAUAUCGUCAAGAACACCGAUAGCGAAGGCAGCUUACUAGGCUGUAACUGACGCUGAGGCACGAAAAGUGUGGGGGAUCAAAACAGG